UACAGAGGGGGCAAGCGUUAUUCGGAAUUAUUGGGCGUAAAGGGCGCGUAGGCGGCCUGGCAAGUGGAAGGUGAAAUCCCUCGGCUUAACCGAGGAACUGCCCUCCAAACUGCUUGGCUUGAGACCGGGAGAGGUGAGUGGAAUUCCUGGUGUAGCGGUGAAAUGCGCAGAUAUCAGGAGGAACACCAAUUGCGAAGGCAGCUCGCUGGGACGUUACUGACGCUGAGACGCGAAAGCGUGGGGAGCAAACAGG
rnacentral:rRNA from 1 species